GACGAACGCUGGCGGCGUGCUUAACACAUGCAGGUCGAACGGAAAGGCCCUGCUUUUGUGGGGUGCUCGAGUGGCGAACGGGUGAGUAACACGUGAGUAACCUGCCCUUGACUUUGGGAUAACUUCAGGAAACUGGGGCUAAUACCGGAUAGGAGCUCCUGCUGCAUGGUGGGGGUUGGAAAGUUUCGGCGGUUGGGGAUGGACUCGCGGCUUAUCAGCUUGUUGGUGGGGUAGUGGCUUACCAAGGCUUUGACGGGUAGCCGGCCUGAGAGGGUGACCGGCCACAUUGGGACUGAGAUACGGCCCAGACUCCUACGGGAGGCAGCAGUGGGGAAUAUUGCACAAUGGGCGGAAGCCUGAUGCAGCAACGCCGCGUGCGGGAUGACGGCCUUCGGGUUGUAAACCGCUUUCGCCUGUGACGAAGCGUGAGUGACGGUAAUGGGUAAAGAAACACCGGCUAACUACGU
rnacentral:rRNA from 1 species